UACACCUGAACUGUAUUUAUUUUUCAGAUGUUGCAAAUGAUGCUAAGGGUCAACAUAACAGACAAGGAUAAAAUUUCUAGAAUACUUCUCAUGGAAAAGUGAAUGACUAAAAUCUCUCGAAAAAUGCCUUAUUCCAAUUGUUUUCUUCAGAUGGCAGAAGAAUCAGCCAAUCAGGAAUCAUAUAUUUCAAAAUUAUAAAUAAUAAAUAUACUGAUACUGAUGUUAAUUCACUUAUACACUUUUAAAUCUGUGCUACAAAAUUAAUGCAUGAUAAUAAAUACUGAGACAUAUUUUAUGAAAUAA